AAGUAAUAAAGUGGAAAUGGAACUGUGGUAGCAGUUUUCAUGACGGCGAAUUUUUAUCUGCUGACUUGGAGGGUUUUACAUUCGCUCUCUCUCAAGCGGUACAGCUCACGGGCAAAGCAGGAUCAGACUGGGUAGCUUCACUUAUCACCCAUUUAGGAAAACAAUAUGGGCAAUGAAUUACAGAGAGAGUGGAUCUGUUUUACUGGCUUCUAGAACUGUUUCAAUAGGGGAUGGCAUCUUCAGCUUCACUAUAUAGGAAGUCGUGAUAUUUUGAUAAAACUGUUGCUUGAAUAGUGUAUUUACAAUCGUUUUCUUUAUCAAGUGAUUAAAUUAUGUGUUGUAUACACAUUUCAUUUAUCUUUAUUGUAUUUCUUUCACGAAUAAUUACAACUAAUACUCAAUUCAUAGAUUUGCGCGUUUCUGAUUGGCUGCUUCAGCACACGUGACCAACUUUCAUUUCUCAAUGAAGCCGUCACGUAUUCAUUAGAUCUAAUUAAUAUUCAUAAUUCUACGCACUACUUUUUCGUUUCUGGGUCACGCACUUUCAGUUUCAAUUCGCCGAUUUAGUACAUUUUCUGACCAUAAAUCAUGGAACAAAAAAUAAAUAUAUAAUAGGAAU